CUAUAAACCCAGAUAUUUAAUACACAAAAAUAUCCGCCAGAGAACUACGAGCAAAAUGCUUAAAACUCUAAGGACUUGACGGUACCUUAAACCCUCCUAGAGGAGCCUGUUCUAUAAUCGAUAAUCCACGAUCUACCUCACCAUCUCUUGCCAGUACCGCCUAUAUACCGCCGUCACCAGCCUACCCUAUGAAGGACAUAAAAGUAAGCAAAACAACAAAACAGCUAACAAGUCAGGUCAAGGUGUAGCUUACUGAGAUGGAAGAAAUGGGCUACAUUUUCUAAACUAGAAAUAUUUUACGGAAAGAACUAUGAAACAAGUCUUAUAAGUAGGAUUUAGCAGUAAAUAAGGAUCAGAAUGCCCUAUUUAAGCCGGCCCUAAGGCACGC
rnacentral:rRNA from 1 species